GAAUAAAAUGGGAGUUCCGGUAAUUCAAUAUCUGCCCUUAUCAAUCAAGGUCUAUUUGUCCAAUUCUUCCGGGCAUUGGCAAGAAAGGAAAGGAAAGGUAAGACGGGUCCGGUAAUGCAGUAAAGUAAAGCAGUCAAUUCAGUAAUCGACGGCACUAAACUAAUGCACUAAAGCACAGCAGCGGCUGCUGGUUGAGCUGACAGGCUGAGUGAGAGCUCCUACGAUAGAUGAUUAUUAAAUGCCAUCUCAAUUCCCAUCUCCCACCCAUCCCAUAUUUUUUUCGGGGAAACGCCUCGAAAAUAUAUUCUUCUGUCCAAUCCACAGUGUUGUUUGGAUUUGGGCUAAAAUGAUAAACGAAAAAUAAGGGCGCCACACGCGCGGAUGCGCGAUUGAUUCCUUUUGUGGUCGUCCUUUAGGAAUUAUUAGAAAAAUGACUCAUGAAAAAAUUCUUUUAUUGUUUCGAUUGUAAGACGCCAGAAGCGUCUUCUUUUGAACCAUCUUCCCGAGUUGACUUGACUACUUAAAACGAACGGGCAUUCCCCAACUGGAACCGGGGGAUUCCAGGGAAGUGCUUGAAGAUAAAGUGGGCCAAGUUCUGAAAACCCACUUUAACUUUUUGAGCAAGGACAUC
rnacentral:lncRNA from 1 species